rnacentral:tRNA from 1 species
GUUGUCGUGGCCAAGUAGUUAAGGCAGUGGACUAGAAAUCUAUUGGGGUCACCCCGCGCAGAUUGGAAUCCUGCCAACAACG